rnacentral:rRNA from 1 species
GCCAGACUCCUACGGGAGGCAGCAGUGGGGAAUAUUGGGCAAUGGGCGCAAGCCUGACCCAGCAACGCCGCGUGAAGGAAGAAGGCUUUCGGGUUGUAAACUUCUUUUAUGAGGGACGAAAGAAAUGACGGUACCUCAUGAAUAAGCCACGGCUAACUACGUGCCAGCAGCCGCGGUAAUACGUAGGUGGCAAGCGUUAUCCGGAUUUACUGGGUGUAAAGGGAGCGUAGACGGCAGGGCAAGCCAGAAGUGAAAACGCAGAGCUUAACUUUGCGACUGCUUUUGGAACUGCCCAGCUAGAGUACAGGAGAGGUAAGUGGAAUUCCUAGUGUAGCGGUGAAAUGCGUAGAUAUUAGGAGGAACACCAGCGGCGAAGGCGGCUUGCUGGACUGAAACUGACGCUGAGGCUCGAAAGCGUGGGGAGCAAACAGGAUUAGAUACCCGCGUAAAC